rnacentral:lncRNA from 1 species
GAUGAGAACAUGUGGUAUCCGUCUCUCUGUGCCUGGUUUAUUUCUGUUCAGCAGAAAAUUCUUGAGAGAAGACGUCUUGCUCCCUAGAUAUGUGGGAUCGCUUUCGUUCUCAUCUGUCUGUCUUUCCUUCCUGCCCCAUCACCCCCAUCUGUCUUUUUUCCUUACUUCUCCCUUCCCCAUCUGCUCAUUGCUCAAGAUUCAUCCAUUAACCCUUUUUCCUUCAGCACAGUACGCAGCGCUGGUUCCCUCUGCAAGAGAAAACACCAACCCAUCAGACAUCUUCUGA